rnacentral:rRNA from 1 species
UUGCACGCUGGCGGCAUGCCUUACCCCUGCAAGUCGCACGGUAACAGGUCUUCGGAUGCUGACGAGUGGCGACCGGGUGAGUAAUACAUCGGAACGUGCCCGAUCGUGGGGGAUAACGAAGCGAAAGCUUUGCUAAUACCGCAUAAGAUCUACGGAUGAAAGCAGGGGACCGCAAGGCCUUGCGCGAACGGAGCGGCCGAUGGCAGAUUAGGUAGUUGGUGGGAUAAAAGCUUACCAAGCCGACGAUCUGUAGCUGGUCUGAGAGGACGACCAGCCACACUGGGACUGAGACACGGCCCAGACUCCUACGGGAGGCAGCAGUGGGGAAUUUUGGACAAUGGGCGAAAGCCUGAUCCAGCCAUGCCGCGUGCAGGAUGAAGGCCUUCGGGUUGUAAACUGCUUUUGUACGGAACGAAAAGACUCUGGUUAAUACCUGGGGUCCAUGACGGUACCGGAAGAAUAAGCACCGGCUAACUACGUG